rnacentral:rRNA from 3 species
GGUUAAGCGACUAAGCGUACACGGUGGAUGCCCUGGCAGUCAGAGGCGAUGAAGGGCGUGCUAAUCUGCGAUAAGCGCCGGUAAGGUGAUAUGAACCGUUAUAACCGGCGAUACCCGAAUGGGGAAACCCAGUGUGAUUCGUCACACUAUCAUUAACUGAAUCCAUAGGUUAAUGAGGCGAACCGGGGGAACUGAAACAUCUAAGUACCCCGAGGAAAAGAAAUCAACCGAGAUUCCCCCAGUAGCGGCGAGCGAACGGGGAGGAGCCCAGAGCCUGAAUCAGCAUGUGUGUUAGUGGAAGCGUCUGGAAAGGUGCGCGAUACAGGGUGACAGCCCCGUACACAAAAGCGCAUGUGCUGUGAGCUCGAUGAGUAGGGCGGGACACGUGGUAUCCUGUCUGAAUAUGGGGGGACCAUCCUCCAAGGCUAAAUACUCCUGACUGACCGAUAGUGAACCAGUACCGUGAGGGAAAGGCGAAAAGAACCCCGGCGAGGGGAGUGAAAAAGAACCUGAAACCGUGUACGUACAAGCAGUGGGAGCACAGGUUUACCUGUGUGACUGCGUACCUUUUGUAUAAUGGGUCAGCGACUUAUAUUCUGUAGCAAGGUUAACCGUAUAGGGGAGCCGGAGGGAAACCGAGUCUUAACCGGGCGUUAAGUUGCAGGGUAUAGACCCGAAACCCGGUGAUCUAGCCAUGGGCAGGUUGAAGGUUGGGUAACACUAACUGGAGGACCGAACCGACUAAUGUUGAAAAAUUAGCGGAUGACCUGUGGCUGGGGGUGAAAGGCCAAUCAAACCGGGAGAUAGCUGGUUCUCCCCGAAAGCUAUUUAGGUAGCGCCUCGUGAAUUCAUCUCCGGGGGUAGAGCACUGUUUCGGCUAGGGGGCCAUCCCGGCUUACCAACCCGAUGCAAACUGCGAAUGCCGGAGAAUGUUAUCACGGGAGACACACGGCGGGUGCUAACGUCCGUCGUGAAGAGGGAAACAACCCAGACCGCCAGCUAAGGUCCCAAAGUCAUGGUUAAGUGGGAAACGAUGUGGGAAGGCCCAGACAGCCAGGAUGUUGGCUUAGAAGCAGCCAUCAUUUAAAGAAAGCGUAAUAGCUCACUGGUCGAGUCGGCCUGCGCGGAAGAUGUAACGGGGCUAAACCAUGCACCGAAGCUGCGGCAGCGAACGUAUCACCCAAGACAACUUUACGGAGUUGACGAUUGACGGAGCGAAGCGACGUCAAAGCGUUCAUUAAAGUCGAGUUGGCUUAGGGAUACGUUCGUUGGGUAGGGGAGCGUUCUGUAAGCCUGUGAAGGUGUGUCGUGAGGC